UGGGGAAUAUUGGACAAUGGGCGAAAGCCUGAUCCAGCCAUGCCGCGUGUGUGAAGAAGGUCUUCGGAUUGUAAAGCACUUUAAGUUGGGAGGAAGGGCAGUUACCUAAUACGUAUCUGUUUUGACGUUACCGACAGAAUAAGCACCGGCUAACUCUGUGCCAGCAGCCGCGGUAAUACAGAGGGUGCAAGCGUUAAUCGGAAUUACUGGGCGUAAAGCGCGCGUAGGUGGUUUGUUAAGUUGGAUGUGAAAUCCCCGGGCUCAACCUGGGAACUGCAUCAAAACUGCAAGCUAGAGUAUGGUAGAGGGUGGUGGAAUUUCCUGUGUAGCGGUGAAAUGCGUAGAUAUAGGAAGGAACACCAGUGGCGAAGGCGACCACCUGGACUGAUACUGACACUGAGGUGCGAAAGCGUGGGGAGCAAACAGGAUUAGAUACCCGAGUAGUCCCUGAGCGGGCUGGCAAGGCGCAU
rnacentral:rRNA from 1 species